CUUACCAUGCAAGUCGAACGAUGAACUUGGAGCUUGCUCUGGGGGAUUAGUGGCGAACGGGUGAGUAACACGUGAGUAACCUGCCCUGGUACUCUGGGAUAACUUCGAGAAAUCGGCAGCAUAAUACCGGAUAGGACCUUGCACCGCAUGGUGUGGGGUGAGAAAGUUUCUUCUGGUGUUGGGAUGGACUCGCGGCCUAUCAUCUUGUUGGUGAGGUAAUGGCUCACCAAGGCGUCGACGGGUAGCCGGCCUGAGAGGGUGACCGGCCACACUGGGACUGAGACACGGCCCACACUCCUACGGGAGGCAGCAGUGGGGAAUAUUGCACAAUGGGCGCAAGCCUGAUGCAGCAACGCCGCGUGCGAGAUGACGGCCUUCGGGUUGUAAACCGCUUUUAGUAGGGAAGAAGCCUUCGGGUGACGGUACCUGCAGAAAAAGGACCGGCUAACUACGUGCCAGCAGCCGCGUGUAAUACGUAGGGUCCGAGCGUUGUCCGGAAUUAUUGGGCGUAAAGAGCUCGUAGGCGGUUUGUCGCGUCUGCUGUGAAAACUAGAGGCUCAACCUCUAGCCUGCAGUGGGUACGGGCAGACUUGAGUGGUGUAGGGGAGACUGGAAUUCCUGGUGUAGCGGUGGAAUGCGCAGAUAUACAGAGAAGAACACCGAUGGCGAAGGCAGGUCUCUGGGCACUUACUGACGCUGAGGAGCGAAAGCGUGGGGAGCGAACAAGAUUACAUACCCUGGUAGUCCACACCGUAUACGUUGGGCGCUAGAUGUGGGGACCUUUCCACGGUUUCCGUGUCGUACCUAACGCAUUAAGCGCCUCGCCUGGAGAGUACGGCCGCUAGGCUACAACUCAAAGGAAUUGACGGCGGCCCGCACAAGCAGCGGACCAUGCAGAUUAAUUCGAUGCAACGCGAAUAACCUUACCAAGGCUUGACAUACACGAGAACGGGCCAGACAUGGUCAACUCUUUGGACACUCGUGAACAGGUGGUGCAUGCUUGUCGUCAGCUCGUGUCAUGAGAUGUUGGGUUAAGUCCCGAAACGAGCGCUACCCUCAUCUCAUGUUGCCAUCACGUUAUGGAGGGAACUCAUGUGACACUGCCCGGCUCAACUCAGAGGAAGGUGGGGAUGAAGUCAAAUCUCCCUGCCCCUUUUGGCUUGGGCUUCCCCAUGCUACAUGGCCGGAACAAAGGGUUCCAAUUCGUAAGGCGAAUCCAAACCCAAAGCCCGGUU
rnacentral:rRNA from 1 species